GGACGUGCUCUUAAUGUUCGG
rnacentral:siRNA from 1 species